rnacentral:rRNA from 1 species
GUUCAACGGCCGCGGUAUCCUAACCGUGCGAAGGUAGCGUAAUCACUUGUUCUUUAAAUGGGGACUAGUAUGAACGGCAUCACGAGGGUUAUGCUGUCUCCUUUUUCUAAUCAGUGAAACUAAUCUCCCCGUGAAGAAGCGGGGAUUAAUCUAUAAGACGAGAAGACCCUAUGGAGCUUUAAACUUCUCCUCAAGCGCCAAACUAUUUUAACAGGUCAUAGACCCCCUCCACAGUAAACUUCUGGCACCAUGAGGAUGACUUUUAGGUUGGGGUGACCGCGGAGUACAAAAAAACCUCCACGCUGAAUAGGCCUCAAAACCUUGAGAUUAGGGCUACAACCCGACUCACUAAAAAAUUAACACUUAUUGACCCAAUAAUAAUUGAUCAACGAACCAAGUUACCCUAGGGAUAACAGCGCAAUCCACUUCAAGAGUCCCUAUCGACAAGUGGGUUUACGACCUCGAUGUUGGAUCAGGGUGUCCCAGUGGUGCAGCCGCUACUAAUGGUUCGUUUGUUCAACGAUUAAAACCC